GGUUGUGGUUCAGUGGUAGAGCAUUUGCUUAGCAUGUGUGAGGCACUGGGUUGAAUCCCAGCACCA
rnacentral:tRNA from 1 species